AUACGUAGGUGGCGAGCGUUGUCCGGAUUUACUGGGCGUAAAGGGAGCGUAGGCGGACUUUUAAGUGAGAUGUGAAAUACUCGGGCUCAACCCGGGGGCUGCAUUUCAAACUGGGAGUCUAGAGUGCAGGAGAGGAGAGUGGAAUUCCUAGUGUAGCGGUGAAAUGCGUAGAGAUUAGGAAGAACACCAGUGGCGAAGGCGACUCUCUGGACUGUAACUGACGCUGAGGCUCGAAAGCGUGGGGAGCAAACAGGAUUAGAUACCCUGGUAGUCCACGCCGUAAACGAUGAGUACUAGGUGUAGGGGUUGUCAUGACCUCCGUGCCGCCGCUAACGCAUUAAGUAUUCCGCCUGGGGAGUACGGUCGCAAGAUUAAA
rnacentral:rRNA from 1 species